GAACAUAUUUGAUGAAAGCAGAAUUAAUGUUUAAUCUUUGAUUGGCAAGAUAAUUAUUGUGUAUUGCAAGGGUAAUUCUUUUAAGUAGUGAUUUGGUUUCAUUUUGUAAAUGGUUAGUGUUCCAUCUAGUGGUGACCUUGAGUUAUAGCAAGGUAGAUCCUGCUGUUCACUUAAAAUCAGGAAGUAAAGUGCUGCAAGCACACGGCAAUGACUACGAUGAUCAGCAAUCGUCAUGUUUUUCUGUAAUCUUAACCCUUGCAACAGCAUCGCUUGUAAGUACGUUUUUGAUUGUAUAAGGUGUUCAUUAUAUUGUAUGUUUUAUGAAUAAUUGAGCUCAAGAGUGACUUCUUAGCUUAUCGGCAGAGCUAAUACAUUAGCCACAAUUUGCUUUAGCUUUAUAUUUCAGUAUUUUGUAUUUACAUAAGAGAAGAUAUUAUUUACUACAAAGCACUCUGUAUUUCAUGUAAAAGCUAUGCUUCUGUAGUUUUGUUAACUUGUGGACAUAUUAUUUAUGUAUCCUAUUGUUUUUUAUUGUAGUUUCACUCCAUACCCAAGACCAUUAAACCUGUUGGCAAAUGAGUUUCUUGUCUUCAGAGUCGUGUGAGGGAAGGGAGUUUAUCUAACUGUCAAAACAAUCACUAAGGGACAGUAUGUUGAGGACAGUACAGUGAAAAAGCGGCUGCAAGAAGAGAGUACAGCAGCAGUUAUGAAGAUUCAAGUAAAUUGAUAAGAGUAUCAAGUGCACAAUGGAGUCUACACACUCAUAUAAAACCAGAUCGUAUGCAUCUUGUUCAAGAUCGAGCAGCUCUUCUACAAGUGCUGCAGCUGCUAUGGCUAGAGCAAAGGCGGAAGCAGCUAAAGCACGUUUGAAGUUUGCAGAUGAAGAAGAAAAAAUAAAGGUGGAGAAAGCCAAGUUGGAGGCAAAAAUUGAUAAAAUGGCUUUAGAGAGAGAAACUGCUGCAGCUGUAGCUGAAGCAGAAGUUUUAGAAGCAGCAGCUAACACCAGUGUUCAUAGUAAACAUGAGCCUCAACUGGAAACCACUCCAGCCGAUGUUAUGCAGCGAACAAGUGAAUAUAUUGAACAGAUGAAUCUACAUGCAUCUACAGAAUUGGCAUCACAACCAGAACCACUCCCUUCCGCAGAGACAGUAAAUCCUCACACAGAAUUACUAGUUACAAAUUCUGUUCCGGAUACACGUCUCAAGACAGAGAGUUGUUCAGACGAUGCUGAAUUCUAUCACAUGCAAUCAAGGAGAGAUUCUGUACAAGCAUCACAGUUUACACCAAGAAGGUACCAUCUUCAUGACCCAACAGAUAGCGAAGUACACAGACGGAGGGCACAUUUCACACAAAGCCACAUACCCCCUGUCUCAACGACAAGUCAAAUGCCUCAGAGUGUAAAAGACAAAACAGAUAUUUCAGACUUCGUCAGAUAUUUUGCUCGCCGUGAACUUGUUAAUACUGGAUUAAUACAGUUUAAUGACCAGCCAGAAAGCUUCAGAGCUUGGCAACGGUCUUUCCAAAAUGCAGUAGGUGGCCUGGAUUUGACAGCUAGUGAGGAAAUGGACUUGUUAGUCAAAUGGUUAGGAAAGGAAUCAGCUGAACACGCUAAACGCAUGAGAUCAGUGCACAUUAAUCAACCACUGAAAGGCCUUGACAUGAUAUGGACUAGACUGGAGGAAUGUUAUGGUGCACCAGAAGUAAUCGAAAGAGCUCUUUUCAGGCGCAUUGAAAGUUUUCCAAGAAUUUCAAGCAGAGAUUACUCAAAGCUUCAUGAAUUAAGUGAUCUUCUCAUGGAAAUAGAGGCAGCUAAAGCUGAUGGAUACCUUGCAGGCUUAACAUAUCUGGACACAGCAAAAGGCAUCAAUCCCAUAAUACAAAAGUUGCCAUUCAAUCUUCAAGAAAAGUGGCUGUCAUAUGGAGCUGGUUACAAAGAGAGAUAUGGUGUCUCUUUCCCCCCCUUUGAGGUCUUGGUUGACUUCAUAAGUCAGCAAGCAAGAAUCAGGAAUGACCCAGGUUUCAACUUCUUUACUCAAACAGAUUCAGUUUACAAAACAGAGAAAUCUAGCUGGAAGUCAAACAAAUCAAGAGAAGUCUCAGUUAAUAAGAUGAAUGUGUCUACCCCUGUACAUUUAGACACAGAUAAAGAUGAAAGAAAAUCUGUGGAUGCAGAGAAACUCUGUCCCAUUCACAACAAACCUCACUUACUUAGGAACUGUCGUUCUUUCCGUGAGAAACCUUUAGAGGAACGUUAUGCAUUUCUAAAAGAAAAAUGCAUCUGUUUCAAAUGUUGCAUAGCUACUACACACAUUGCUAAGAACUGCAAAUUUGUUACGAAAUGUUCUGAGUGUGGAAGUGAGAAGCAUAUUUCUGCACUACACCCUGGUCCUGUUCAAAAAGCUCAAGAAACUGUAUCCUUACCGCUGCAUGGCGGGGAGCAAGUUUCUACGUCACUAGAAGAAGUGGAGGCUCAUUGCACUGAGGUUUGCAGAGAUGACCAUAGCAGUAAGUCAUGCUCAAAAAUCAGUUUGGCAAAAGUGUAUCCCAAAGGUCAACCUGAAAAAGCAAUGAAAGUCUAUGUGAUCCUCGAUGAGCAAAGCAACAGGUCAUUAGCUCGCUCUGAAUUCUUUGAUGCUUUCAAAGAAAAUACCCCAGCUACUCCCUACACCCUGAGAACUUGUUCUGGAGUGACGGAAAUCAUUAGUCGAAAAGCAUCAGGAUAUCAAAUGCAGUCUUUGGAUGGGAAAGUAGUCUUUUCUCUACCAAGUUUGCUUGAAUGUAACAACAUUCCUGACAAUAGGGCAGAAAUUCCCACACCAAGUGCUGCUCUCCAUCACCCUCAUCUGAAGCCUAUAGCUUCAUUCAUACCAGAAUUGGAGCCAGACGUUCCCAUCAUGAUGCUUCUGGGCCGUGACAUCAUCAGAGUUCAUAAAGUGCGCAGUCAAGUUAAUGGUCCCAAUGAUGCUCCCUAUGCACAGAAACUUGACUUGGGAUGGGUGAUAGUUGGCAAUGUUUGUCUAAAUGGCAUUCAUAAGUCUACAGCUGUGAGUACCUUCUUCACUUACACAAAGGAACAACGUCCUUCUAUCUUUGAUUCCUGUCCUAAUGUUUUCUGUGUAAAAGGGAGGAAAAGUAAUGAGCAGAAAAAUGAUAAUGGAAUUUGUUCUAUGGAACAACUUAUCUGCAAUCGCGAACAUGAUCAGUUGGGCAAGGACGUAUUCAAGGUUACUUGUGACGACAAUAAAGUGGCCCCAUCUAUCAAUGACUUGACAUUUCUCCAAAUUAUGGAACAAGGAUUGGAGAGAGAUGAAAACAAUAGCUGGAUAGCUCCGCUGCCUUUCAAAGUUCCAAGGUGCAGACUCCCCAACAACAGAUGUCAAGCCUUGAAAAGGUUGUUAAUCUUGAGACGUAAUCUAGAGAGAAACCCACAAAUGAAACAACACUUUUUCACAUUCAUGGACAAAAUCUUCGAUAAAAAAUAUGCAGAAGAAGCCCCCCUGCUGUUAGAACGAGAAGAAUCCUGGUAUUUACCACUCUUCGGGGUGUACCACCCUAAAAAACCAGGAAACAUAAGAGUGGUUUUUGAUUCCAGUGCUCGGUAUGAGGAUGUUUCAUUGAAUGAUGUUCUAUUGUCUGGGCCAGAUAUGAACAACACGCUUGUCGGUGUGCUCAUGCGAUUUCGCAAGGAAGCCGUAGCUAUAACAGCUGACAUUGAACAAAUGUUCUACGGUUUCUUAGUGAGAGAAGACGACCGUAACUUCCUAAGGUUUCUGUGGUUUCGUAAUAAUGACCCAUCAGAGGACAUUGUAGAGUACAGAAUGCGCGUCCAUGUAUUUGGGAACAGCCCUUCACCUGCUGUUGCCAUCUACUGUCUCAGACAGUCUGUUAAGGAUGGUGACCCUGAUGUAAGAAGCUUUGUGAAUCGUGACUUUUAUGUAGAUGACGGAUUGAAGUCACUUCCGACAGAAAAAGCAGCAAUAGAUCUGCUCAAAAACACGCAGAGAAUUCUUGCUGGUUCCAAUUUACGGCUUCAUAAGAUAGCCUCGAACAGCACAGAAGUUCUAAAGGCCUUCCCAUCUCAAGAUCAUGCUAGUGAAAUCAAAGACUUGGAUCUUGGUUCUGACAUGCUUCCGACACAGCGCAGUCUGGGAUUGAACUGGAACCUGCGAACGGACACGUUUACAUUCAAAAUCGACACACAAGCAAAACCCUUUACUCGCAGAGGUGUAUUAUCAACUGUCAAUAGCAUCUUUGAUCCUCUUGGGUUUGUUUCCCCAGUAACAAUUCAAGGUAAACUGAUCAUGAGAGAACUUAAUAAUCAGAAUGAUGACUGGGAUGCGCCCCUUCCCAAAGAAAUGGAGGAAAAGUGGGAAACGUGGCGACAAUCACUGAUUGAUUUGAAAAAUCUAAACAUUCCAAGAUGCUACACAAAUAUAUCACCUUCUACAGCCACUCAAAGGGAGUUGUUCAUCUUCUCUGAUGCUUCAACAAAAGCAAUAGCUGCAGUUGCUUACCUUAGAUUGACAGAUUCGUUUGGAGUCAGUCAGCUCGGCUUCGUCAUGGGUAAGGCAAAACUCAGCCCAGAACAAACAAUUCCUCGUCUUGAGUUGUGUGCUGCAGUUUUGGCAGUGGAACUGGCAGAAUUCAUUACUUCAGAAAUUGACAUGCAUUUGGAUGACAUUGCUUACUUUACAGAUAGUAAGGUAGUGCUAGGAUAUAUACACAACGAAUCACGACGUUUCUAUGUAUAUGUCAGCAAUAGAGUCCUUCGGAUUCGCAAGUCUACUCACCCAAGUCAAUGGAAGUAUGUGUGCACAACAGAAAAUCCAGCAGACAUUGCAACAAGGUAUGUUACUGCUGCUCAUCUUCAAAACACUGAUUGGCUUUGUGGACCAAACUUUCUGUUAAACAACCCUUGCACACAAGAAAAGAACGAAUUUGAGCUUGUAAAUCCUUCUUCUGAUGCAGAGCUACGUCCUGAAGUCUCCACACUGAGUACUGCAUUGAGGAAUAAGAGUCUUGGAGCACAACGAUUUUCCAGGUUCUCUACCUGGAAAUCUAGCAUUCAUGGCACAGCACGCCUUCUUCAUAUAUCACGGCAAUUCUGUAAAGGUUCUACAACUCAGACAUCAGGCUGCAAGGGCUGGCAUUACUGUCUUAAUGCGCCUACAGUAGAGGAACUCUUAUGUGCUGAAAAAAUUAUUAUUAAAACAGUGCAACAAGAGACAUAUGCUCAAGAGUAUGAGAGUUUGAAAACGGGAAAUAAGCUCUCUAAGCAAAGCUCCCUCAAAGCUUUAGACCCUUUCAUAGAUGUAGAUGGUCUGCUAAGAGUGGGAGGUCGAUUAACAGAAGCACAGAUUGAGGGUGAUGUAAAAAAUCCCCUUAUCAUCCCUGGCAAACAUCACAUUGCAACACUUUUGAUUAAACAUCAUCACGAGAAAGUGCGACACCAGGGGCGACACUAUACGGAGGGUGCUGUGCGAGCUGCUGGCUACUGGAUAGUGGGUGGAAAGAGGAAGGUUUGCAGUGUCAUUCACGAAUGCGUUACUUGCCGAAAACUCAGAGCAACACCACAGACUCAAAAAAUGUCUGAUCUACCAGCAGAUCGUGUAUCCAUGGAUCCUCCAUUUACAAAUGUGGGACUAGACGUCUUCGGACCAUGGGAUGUGGUGGCGCGGCGAACAAGAGGUGGCCAUGCACAAAGCAAAAGGUGGGCCGUGAUAUUUACCUGUCAAAGCGUGAGAGCUGUACACAUUGAACUUAUAGAAUCUUUAGAUACAUCUAGUUUCAUUAAUGCCUUGCGGCGUUUUCUUGCUAUCCGAGGGCCUGUGAAACUCAUUCGCUCAGACAGAGGAACAAAUUUUGUUGGAGCUUGCAGAGAGCUCAACAUCUUGUCUAACAUUGACAAAACCUCCGUAGAAAAGUUCCUUUUGGAUCAGAGCUGUGUGUGGCAAUUUAACCCGGCACAUGCUUCUCAUAUGGGUGGGUCCUGGGAGAGGAUGAUAGGCCUUGCUAGAAGGAUACUAGAUGCAAUGCUUCAACAGCUUGGACCUUCAGCAUUAACACAUGAGAUGCUCUCCACUCUUAUGGCAGAAGUCACUGCAAUAAUAAAUGCAAGGCCACUCGUUCCAGUGUCGUCUGACCCAAAUGAUCCAUUCAUACUAACACCCAGUGCACUCUUAACCCAAAAGGUCACAAUUGCUCCAGCCCCAACUUUUGAUGUGGAUAAAAAUCUUCAUAUCAGACAGUGGCGAAAGGUACAGCACUUGGCACAAACCUUUUGGGAUAAAUGGAAAAAGCAGUACCUAACUCUUCUACAACCAAGAAGAAAGUGGCCAUCCAGUGAACCUGAUCUUGAAUUGGGAAGCAUUGUGCUUUUGAAGGAUGAACAACAAAAAAGAAAUGAAUGGCCAAUGGGACUUGUCACUCAAGUUUUUCCAAGCAAAGACAACAAGGUUCGCACGGUAGAAGUCAAGGUCUUUAAAAAGGACGGACCAAAAAUGUUCAUACGCCCCAUCACAAAAACUAUCCUUCUUCUUACACCAGAAAAACUUGACUAAAUUUAAGGAUCUGUAAAUAGUGGCAUGUUACCACGCCAGACGGGGAGUGUGCUGGAACAUAUUUGAUGAAAGCAGAAAUAAUGUUUAAUCUUUGAUUGGCAAGAUAAUUAUUGUGUAUUGCAAGGGUAAUUCUUUUAAGUAGUGAUUUGGUUUCAUUUUGUAAAUGGUUAGUGUUCCAUCUAGUGGUGACCUUGAGUUAUAGCAAGGUAGAUCCUGCUGUUCACUUAAAAUCAGGAAGUAAAGUGCUGCAAGCACACGGCAAUGACUACGAUGAUCAGCAAUCGUCAUGUUUUUCUGUAAUCUUAACCCUUGCAACAGCAUCGCUUUGCCAAUUUAUCAAAAGCUGCCUGGGGCGCCCUGGAGAAGAACAACACUCAGAUUAUGGUCCGCUCCUAUGAACUGGGGGUCCUCUACCUGCCAUCUGCCUUUAACAUGAGCACAUUUCCAGUGGAGAAGAAUGUGUUUCCGGCCUGCAGCUCCUCAAUUGGCUUCCCUGUGCCCUUUGACCUCCCACCUCAGCGUUACUCAAGCAAAGAUCGGCCUUGGAUCUGGAACAUUCCAUACACUCAAGCACCAGACACUCAUGGAAAUGUAUGGGUGCCUUCUUGAGCUGCUGAGACCAUCUGAACAAGAUCGUAUUAACAUGGAAAUCAGAUCAUCAGCAUCUCUUUCUGGGUCUGUUCAGUUCGUCAUAUAAGCUUUAAAAUUACAUGCUUUUACCUUUGAUAUCAGUAGUUGUUAGAAAUACACUAUAAUACUGUUAUGGUUAUAGUUAUAGAUACGAUAGUGUAUAGUUAUUACUUAAUAAAAUGCUUUUUGUAAAAAAAAACAUAAUAAUAAAAUACAACAAUAAAAUACACCGAA